rnacentral:rRNA from 1 species
GAUGAACGCUGGCGGCGUGCUUAACACAUGCAAGUCGAACGAAGCACUUUAUUUGAUUUCCUUCGGGACUGAUUAUUUUGUGACUGAGUGGCGGACGGGUGAGUAACGCGUGGGUAACCUGCCUUGUACAGGGGGAUAACAGUUGGAAACGGCUGCUAAUACCGCAUAAGCGCACGGCAUCGCAUGAUGCAGUGUGAAAAACUCCGGUGGUAUAAGAUGGACCCGCGUUGGAUUAGCUAGUUGGUGAGGUAACGGCCCACCAAGGCGACGAUCCAUAGCCGACCUGAGAGGGUGACCGGCCACAUUGGGACUGAGACACGGCCCAAACUCCUACGGGAGGCAGCAGUGGGGAAUAUUGCACAAUGGGCGAAAGCCUGAUGCAGCGACGCCGCGUGAAUUGAAGAAGUAUUUCGGUAUGUAAAGCUCUAUCAGCAGGGAAGAUAAUGA